CUGACUCAUCCAGUUCCGGCAAAGGGAAAGCUUCCGGUGAAAAGGACGCCGACUCGAUGCAGGUGGAUGAUGCUGCCGCCAUGGCUGUGGAUGAUGAGCCUCAACCACCCCAGCCGUUUGAAUACAGCUCAUGAUCACUGUUCUAGUCGGUUUGAUUUGAUCUCAGUCGACACAGUUGCAUCUAGUGAGUUAGCCGGUUACAUUCAUGGGGUUUAUGUGGUGCGCUGGAGAACGUUGUAACCGAGUCAAGUGUAGGUAUUUCCCAUUGAUGUUUUGUCAAGACAGAUUGUGUUUGUUUAGUUACUCUUUUAUCUCUUUACAUUUCAUGUGAAAGCUUUUUACCAACUA